UUCAUAUGGGCGCCCUACACGGAUGACGUUCUAGUCGACCUACCGAUUGAUUAUGUAGUUGGGAGGGACCUGUGGGUACAUGUUUUCAUAUUAUUGAGUGACAUCUUCCUAAUCGAGUGAUGCGUCAAUUUGGCUAUCGGUAUGGCAUUCCCGAUCACUUUUUGACAUCGGGGGUAGAUGUACGUAGGGACGACUUACACGAGAUUGGCCGUGUUCGAGGGAACACAUAUUGGGCUGCCGAGCACAAGAUGUAGGUGAUUAUGUAGGGGCAUCGACGAGAGUAUGUCAUACAGGGAGUGAAGGUGAAUGGUCCGAUGGGUCCGGAGGACCCAUAUUAUGCGUGGUAUAGGUCAAUCACACGACGCUUCGUGGAUAGGACCGCAACUGUCAACAUGAGUCUCGCGAACGUACUACAUCUGGUCGACCUACUCUCUUCAGAGUUGUUAUGUAGAAUUUAGCGAGAGCAGGUUUAGACAUUGUCCACGAGGACGGGCGACGGAUCCCUACACGACGAGCCCUAGCACCACGAGAAGGUUGACCAGCUCCAGUACGAGGAGGUCGAGCAGCUUUCUCCAGUCGUCCGUCCGGUUUGGCCUUCUCGUCGUCCAUUGUACAGGCGAAGUACGUAUUCGGCCCUUCUGCAUCGUAUGCCCCAUCGACAGCCAUCGAUAUUACAGGCCCAUCUAAUAGACAAGCGGACACCUCGUCUGACUCUACCGCCACCUCGUCGAUGUCAUACUUGCUAGACGACCCUCUCGAUACGGAGGUGUAUGCACCUGCUUUGCUACCUUGGAUUUAUCUAGAGACUUUAUACGAGUUAGCUCCCUGUCCGUUUCACAUGGAUAUAGAUGAUGUAAUACCUAUUGCCGGAGAUGACGGACGUGUAGCACAUUGACGAGCCCGGACGCCAGACACGAAGGAGUAGCCAAGAGAGGGCCGAUGCAGACGGUAGCCACCCGGAAACCAGAGACGACCUUUCUACGGUAUGGAGUAGUAGGAUUGAUUCUUUUGUUCGACUUUGUACAAUAUCUAUUUGUUCAUUAUUUCAUUUGUAUAGAUUAUCGUUGUAUUAUUUCAUUUGUACAAAUACUUAUUCGUUCAUUUUUUCAUUUGUAUAAAUCAUCGUUGUAUUAUUUCUUUUGUACAAUAUCUAUUUGUCUAUUUUUUUCAUUUGUAUAGAUUAUCGUUUUAUUAUU